CGGGAGGAACCGCCUGCAGGGCCGGGCCUCGGCGCCGUGCGCGGAGCGAGCCGAGGGCAGGUCAGAAAUCGGUCCACCCAGGAACGUGUUACUGGAGCAGCAGAGACAAAAAUAAGGGAGAUUUCUUCUCUCAAACCAAAGACUUGCCAUGUCUUACCAUUACAAUGAAGCCUUUGAAAAUCCAGCCUACCACUUCUCAGAGACACUGGAAGUUGAUAGGAGCAGGAAUUCUGAAGGGAAUCAGUUCUCUCACCGAAACCCUUACGAUUCUCUGUCGUAUAGUUACCAAGGAGAGCACAGAGGAAGAAGACAAAAUUAUCCUCCAGCCAUACCAAUGGCUUCUCUGAGACACAACUCUGAAUACAGUGAAAGUUUACCAAUGGCUUCUCUGAGACACAACUCUGAAUACAGUGAAAGUUUACCAAGAGUUCAAGUCCUGAGCAGAAGUCCAUAUGGCAGAUCCCAGGAUAAUCUUUCCUUUGAGCCUGAGCCAGAAUUGGCCUACAGCCCACGUUCUGCCUUCGGUCCUUUGGAUGACCCCUAUACUCACAGAUUUUCCAGUGCAUCAGAAGGUAGCUUUGUUCGGAGACGCAACAGAAGGCCAUCUGACACUGUGACAUUUGCAACCCUGUCUCAAGCAACUCCAGAGUGCAGAGGAGAGGAAAAAUUAGUUGACAGUCUUGCAAGCAUGUCCAAGCGUGAAAGGAUUAAAGCAAUCCAGAAAAUGCCAGAAACCAUGAAAAGAAAGAGAGAGAUCAGGAAUAAAGUUCUCACAGAAAUCUCAAAGAAAUCAGGGGGCUGUGGUACUCAGUGUGGCUGCUGUAAGCACUGUCUGCACAGAGCAAAAGCGUCAUUUCGGCAAUUUAGAAAUACCUUGUCAGAAUAUUUUCAGCGACUGAAUUUCUGGCACAAGACUCUGAAGAGCAUUGGUGGAGAGUUUGGAACAAGUGUUCUUUCUUAUUUUAUUUUUUUGAAAUGGCUGCUGAAUUUCAACAUCUUCUCAUUCCUCAUAAACUUUGGUUUCAUCACAAUCCCUCAGUUUGUUACAGCAGAACCAAAUAACCUUUCAUUCACGGGUCUGGAGCUGCUCACUGGAGCUGGUUAUUUUCAACAAACAGUACUCUACUACGGCUUUUACACCAAUGCUACAAUCAGUCAAACGAAGAAUGGUGCAUCUUAUAACAUGCAGCUGGCCUAUAUUUUCACUGUUGGAAUAUAUUUUGUCAUCUGUUUGCUUAUCUUGGUGUUCAGCAUGGCAAAAUCCUUCUGCAGAAACAUUAUUAACCCUCAGAUGUACUCUGGCAAUGCAAGCAAACUUCUCUGCACUUGGGACUUCAACAUAACUAAUGAAAAAGCUGUGAAGUUGAAACAAAAGAAUCUCAGCACACAGAUAAAGGAGGACCUCGCUGAAGAAAACAAAGAAGCUCUAAGUUUUACUGUAACAGAGAGAAUUGUUCGUAUUCUUAUCCAUCUUGGGUCAUGGGCUGCUUCCUUGGGAACAGCAGUAGCUGCUUGUGCUGGUGUUUACUUCCUCUCCAUUAAUAAUCUAGAGCUCUUUAUGAAAGGGAAUAAAAAUGAACUGGAAAGCCAAGCUGCCAUGUUGGUGCUACCCAUUAUUACAUCCCUCCUCAAUGUGUUCAUCCCAUUCUUCUACUCAUGGCUUGGAAACCUGGAGAAAUUUCAGAAUCCCAAACGCAAGAUAUAUGUUGCUAUUGCCAGAACUAUAAUCCUGAAAAUAUCCAUUAUUGGAAUACUGUGCUACUACUGGCUUAACGUUGUGGCUGUGUCGGAGUCACAGUGCUGGGAAACACUGAUUGGCCAAGAUAUCUAUCGUCUUGUGUUGGUUGACUUCAUAUUUUGUUUGCUUGGCUCAUUCUUUGGAGAAUUUUUGCGAAGAAUUAUUGGAACUACAGUCUGUGUGAGCCUGGGGGUGCCAGAGUUUGAUAUUGGACGAAGUGUUUUAGAUUUGAUCUAUGCUCAGACAUUGACCUGGAUCGGUAUUCUCUUCUCACCUCUGCUGCCUGGUAUCCAGAUGAUAUCAUUUUCUAUAGUAUUUUAUGUGAAAAAGGUCAGUCUGAUGAGGAAUUGCCAACCUCCUCGCAAAGCCUGGAGAGCUGCUCAAAUGACAACGUUCUUCAUGUUCAUUCUGUUUUUCCCUUCCCUCAUUGGAGUCCUGUCUGUCAUUGCAGUCACUGUCUGGAGGUUGAAACCUUCAAAAGAAUGUGGUCCUUUCCGAGGUCUGCCUUCUAUAUACACAGCAAUCUCUGAGUGGGUAAAAAUACUGGAAAAUUACAUUGAUUCAAAAUGGGUAGCAUGGGUCUACUACAACUUAAUAGCAAGUGAACUUUUCUUCUUCAUCCUCUCCGUCGUUAUCAUGUGAGUACCUGCUGAUGAAAAGGACACGGAGUGGAAAAACCUGGCUAGGCCAUAGCCAUUCUCUGUAACAAUUGCAGGGUGCAUUUUAGAAUACUAGAAACGAUUAAUAUAAGGGAAACUCAUGUAUUUGAAGUAUGUAAAGAAGUUAUAAAACCUAUUCCUUUUAUGUUACGAUGCCAAAGCUCUCUUUGUUUCAUGCUAACUGAAGGAUAUACUGCCGUUUAAUUUAAUAUUUUUAGUUCACUGGUGAGUUGGCUUCCAGGUCUCAUUACCACUGCCACUCUGAGCUGCAGCAACAUCAGUGAAUGGGAACAUCUGCAUACUGUUGGCAGGAUGAAUUGACUUAUUUACUUAUUUAAAGAGAUAUAAAUCAGAAGGCAAAGAUCUGUCAUUCACAAGUAGAACGUGUCAGAUCUAUGCUAGAGCCUUGGGCAGCAUAAAAAAAAAAGUAGAGGUUUUGUGGGUGGCUGCUUUGUCUUUCACCAUUUUUCUUCAGUGGAGUCACUUGUGGAGGUGCUGAUACCUUGCAAAAAUAUCUGAGUUAAUGUGUGGGCACUGGAGGAAGGGCAUGGUGGUGCACGAAUGGCGUGUGGAAGUGAGCACGCAGUGCGGGGAAAUGCUCCGAAGUCAGCUGCAGUCUAAGUCAGCCGAUCUCAGAGUUAUUGCUUACCUUUUCUGGCAAAUAAUAAGAGGAAGAAGAACCAUGGCCAAGCUCUUACGUGAGCAAAUUGUUAAUG